GCAGCAUCCGGGAAUCCGGAGGUCCAACGUUUCCGGAACCCUGGCUAAAGGGCACGCGGCGGUUAGUAAAUCUGAUCUAAAGGCGUGGGCUCAACACAUACGGCGGUGGUUACGGCUACGAGGCUCGUGAGAGGUAAGCAGAAUUCCAGGGGAGCGGUGGAAGGGGUAGAUACUGGAGGGAUCCCGAUAGGGAAGGCAGCUUACUACGCACUGAGUUACGCUGAGGUGCGAACGUGUGGGGAGCGAAUCCGCAUUAGAUACUCGGGUCAUUCCACACCCUAAACGAUGCAUACUUGGUGUUGGUGCGCAGGCAUCAGCUCUGGGAGCAAACGCGUUAAGUAUGCCCCCUGGGAAGUACGGCCUCAAGGUUGAAACUCAAAGGAAUUGACGGGGGACCCGCACAACGCGGUCGAGCAUGUGGUCUAAUUCGAAGCAACGCGAAGCCCCUUACCAGGUCUUGACAUCCUUGGCAUCACUCAGAGAUGACUGAGUGUCCUUCGGGAAGCCACAGGAGAGGCGCUGCAUGGCUGUCGUCAGCUCUUGUCGUGAGAUGGUGGCCCAGUCCCCUAACGAUCCCAAGUCCUACCACUAGUUGCCAGGCCAGCAAUUUCAACUCUAGUGGGACUGCCUGUCGUCCAGGAGGAACGCGGGGAUGAGGUCUAGUUCCCAUGGUCCUUGGCGUCACGGAUGUCAUUCCACGCCAAUGGCCGCGUGGCCCAGCCCCCAGCCGGUGACGAAGCGGCAAUCGACCAAAGCCCAUCCCACUUCUGAUGGGAAUGCGCAACCCCACCAGGAGCAUAUAGGUGGACAAGUAAUCCACCCGUCUCCGCGGACGGGGUCAUCCGGCCGCGCAUCCUGUCCACCCAGCCCCCCGCGCCAUCGUCGCUGAAGACCCAGACCCCGCUCGUACGUCAUGACACUCAAAUGAAGUGGUGUAAUCCAGUGGUCGUCCCUAAAUCAACACACCGGUCCUUCAGAGCUCAUGCGCUUAGCUAAUACG
rnacentral:rRNA from 1 species